rnacentral:lncRNA from 1 species
UUUUUUCUUAAUGAGGGUGGUGACAACAGUUAUCAUCUUCUCCAGGGUUAAUACCCUUCCACGGUAGAGCUCCAGAAGCUCCUGCCUUUUGUCCUCAGGGAUGUAGUCAGAGAAGAGCAGGUCCCACACAGAGAACUCACCAGCUGGCAUGUCAAUGGUGGUAGACUUCAAGACGUUAUCUAGUUGUGCAUCUUGUGCUGAAACAUCAUCUCCAUUUUCCCCUGCCCUUGUCACCACCUUCUGUGGACUUCUGGUAUUUGCUGCGAGUGUGGUAUUGGCAGCUUCUGUUUUGUUGAUCGUGGUGGUGACGACAGUAGCCACCUGUUCUGUGGUCAGUAUGCCUGCUCUGUACAGCUCCAGCAGCUCCUGCCGCUUCCCCUGAGGGAUGUAUUUGGAAAAGAGCAGAUCCAGCAAGGAAACAUUUUGUCCCUGGAACUCACCAGCAGUGACAUAGAUGGUCGCAGACUUUAAUGACUUUCUCAACUGCUGCUCCUGGGAGUGUGUAUCCUGUACAGGUUGUGGUGAUCCCACCUCACAGCUGGUUGUUACUGUGGAUGAGCUCAGAUCCUGGUUUCCUGUUUCUGCCUUGGUGAUGAUGGCAGUGAGAGUGGUGAUCAUUUCUGGGAUGGUCACCGUCCCCACCUUAUAUUUCCUCAGCAGCUCCUCUCUCUGGCAAUCAGAGACGUAGCGAGAGAAGAGGAGCUCCCAGACGGUGACGCUCUGGCCCUGGAAGAGCCCCACGCUGACGGUGGUGCGGGCAGCCUGCAGGGCUUUGCGGGCGUCCUUGUUCAGCUGGUAGAGCACCGAGCCCUUGUCCAUCAGCUGCAGCAUGAGCAGCCCCGUGUCUGGGUCGGGCACGCAGCGUCGCAGGAGCUGCAUGUAGGUGAGGUUCUCGUGCGUGUUGGGGUCGAAGAAGCCUUUGGUGUCGUCGCUGGGGUCGGAGAGGAUCUGGUUCAUCUCCUGGUCAAAGUAGCCGCGCUUGUAGGCAGCUUCUACGGGGAGGCGGUGGCUGUGCACGGGGUCGAUGAUGCCGCCGGUGGCUAUCUGGGCCUCGAGCA